CCCUUAGAUGUUCUGGGCCGCACGCGCGCUACACUGAUGCAUUCAACGAGCCUAUCCUUGACCGACAGGUCCGGGUAAUCUUUGAAUCUGUAUCGUGACGGGGAUAGAUUAUUGCAAUUAUUAAUCUUCAACGAGGAAUGCCUAGUAGGCGCAAGUCAUCAGCUUGCGUCGAUUACGUCCCUGCCCUUUGUACACACCGCCCGUCGCUCCUACCGAUUGGGUGUGCUGGUGAAAUGUUCGGAUCGGCCGUUUGUCGCGGUUUCCGCGUCAUGUGGCUGAGAAGUUCAUUAAACCCUCCCACCGAGAGGAAGGAGAAGUCGUAACA
rnacentral:rRNA from 1 species